AUGGGGGACCACACUCAGCUCUUGUGGCUGCUGCUACUCUGGAUCACAAGUGUAAUUUGUGACAUCCAGAUGACAGAAUCCCCAUCAUUACUCUCUACGUCUCUAGGAGACCAAGUUACCAUCAACUGCAGGGCCACUAAGAACAUUAACAAGAAUUUAGCUUGGGUUCAACAGAAACCAGGGAAAUCUCCUAUGAUAUUAAUCAAUUACGCAUCCAAUUUGCUAACUGGGGUUCCAGCAAAGUUCAGUGGGAGUGGAUCUGGCACAGAUUAUUCCCUCACUAUCAACAACCUGGAGUCUGAAGAUAUUGCAACAUAUUAUUGUCUACAGUAUUCUGAGCGUCCUCCCACAGUGAUACAAGUCAUAACAAAAACCCCCAGGGAAGCUAAAAUGUGA